AUUGAACGCUGGCGGCAUGCCUUACACAUGCAAGUCGAACGGCAGCACGGGAGCAAUCCUGGUGGCGAGUGGCGAACGGGUGAGUAAUAUAUCGGAACGUGCCCGGUCGUGGGGGAUAACGUAGCGAAAGCUACGCUAAUACCGCAUACGAUCUACGGAUGAAAGCGGGGGAUCGCAAGACCUCGCGCGAUUGGAGCGGCCGAUAUCAGAUUAGGUAGUUGGUGAGGUAAAGGCUCACCAAGCCGACGAUCUGUAGCUGGUCUGAGAGGACGACCAGCCACACUGGGACUGAGACACGGCCCAGACUCCUACGGGAGGCAGCAGUGGGGAAUUUUGGACAAUGGGCGGCAAGCCUGAUCCAGCAAUGCCGCGUGCAGGAUGAAGGCC
rnacentral:rRNA from 1 species